AUGAUUUCAUUGUGUACCUUGUGGAUGACACACCCAGGACUAUUUCAGAAGCCUAUGCAUCUCCUGAUGCUGACUACUGGAAGGAAGCGAUGUAAGUGGGUGUUCAAGAAGAAGCUAAGACCUGAUGGUACGAUUGAAAAGUACAAGGCACGGCUUGUGGCUAAGGGUUAUACCCAGAAAGAAGGUGAAGACUUCUUUGAUACUUACUCACCCGUGGCUAGACUGACCACAAUUCGGGUUAAGACGGCUUUCCUCAAUGGAGAGUUGAAGGAGGAAAUUUACAUGGAUCAACCAGAUGGUUUUGUAGUACCUGGUCAAGAAGGAAAGGUGUGCAAGUUAUUAAAGUCUUUAUAUGGCCUUAAACAAGCUCCUAAGGAGUGGCAUGAGAAGUUCGAAAGAACAAUAACUGCUGCCGGCUUUGUAGUAAACGAUGGUGACAAGUGUGUGUACUAUCGCCAUGGUGGGGGCGAAGGAGUUAUUCUUUGUCUGUAUGUCGACGACAUAUUGAUCUUUGGAACCAAACUUGAUUUAAUCAAGGAUGUUAAGGAUUUCUUAUCUCGCUGUUUUGAGAUGAAGGAUCUAGGAGUAGCUGAUGUUAUCUUAAACAUCAAGCUGUUGAGAGAUGAGAAUGGUGGGAUCACACUUCUUCAGUCUCACUAUGUGGAAAAGGUCUUGAGUCGUUUUGGGUAUAGCGACUGCACGCCUUCUCCAACUCCAUAUGAUGCUACUGUGUUGCUUCGAAAGAAUCGACGGAUUGCUAGAGAUCAACUAAGGUAUUCCCAGCAUAUUGGCUCACUUAUGUAUUUGGCGAGUGCCACGAGGCCUGACAUCUCAUUUGCUGUGAGCAAGCUAAGUCGGUUUGUGUCAAAACCGGGAGAUGAUCAUUGGCAUGUGCUUGAGAGAGUUAUGCGCUAUUUGAAAGGCACCGCGAGCUAUGGGAUUCACUACACCGAGUAUCCAAGGGUACUGCAGGGUUAUAGUGACUCAAACUGGAUAUCUGAUGCUAAUGAGAUUAAGACCACAAGUGGUUAUGGUUUUACACUUGGUGGUGGCGCUGUUUCUUGGAAGUCUUGCAAGCAGACCAUCUUAACGAGGUCAACUAUGGAAACAGAACUCACAGCAUUAGACACUGCCACUGUUGAAGCAGAGUGGCUUUGUGAGCUCUCGAUGGACUUACCUAUGGUUGAAAAACCAAUACCCCCUAUCCUGGUGAACUGUGAUAAUCAAACUGUGAUCGUCAAGAUAAACAGUUCUAAGGACAAUAUGAAGUCCUCAAGGCAUGUGAAGAGGAGACUAAAAUCUGUCAGAAAAUUGAGGAACUCCGGAGUUAUUACAUUGGAUUAUAUC
rnacentral:rRNA from 1 species